CCAGGGCCGAGCAGACCUUGGGACCUGUGAGCGCUGCAUCCAAUUAACCAUGGGAAGGGUCAGCACCAGCCACCAGCCCCUUAGGUGAGGACUCUGCCUGGGGCUCCGCUGAUGGUUCCGAAUCAUGGAGCUGCAGAGAGCUCCUCCAGCCAGGAGACGUUCUUGGUGAAAGCUGUGGUCUAACUCCACCGGCUCUUCCUGCACAUUGUAUUCAAGAGGGGUGCCUGUCCCCGCUGACUCAGGAGCUCCGGUGCUGCAGCCGCCACGAAUGGGGAGGUGGGCCCUCGAUGUGGCCUUUUUGUGGAAGGCGGUGUUGACCCUGGGGCUGGUGCUUCUCUACUACUGCUUCUCCAUCGGCAUCACCUUCUACAACAAAUGGCUGACAAAGGGCGCUGGUUCAGUGCUCCAGCCACAGGGCCCGUGUGGUGCUGAGCUGGGCCGACUACCUCAGAAGAGUGGCUCCCACAGCUCUGGCGACGGCGCUUGACGUGGGCUUGUCCAACUGGAGCUUCCUCUAUGUCACCGUCUCGCUGUACACAAUGACCAAAUCCUCAGCUGUCCUCUUCAUCUUGAUCUUCUCUCUGAUCUUCAAGCUGGAGGAGCUGUCCACACAGUUCAACGUGGAGGGCUUCGCCUUGGUGCUGGGGGCCUCGUUCAUCGGUGGCAUUCGCUGGACCCUCACCCAGAUGCUCCUGCAGAAGGCUGAACUCGGCCUCCAGAAUCCCAUCGACACCAUGUUCCACCUGCAGCCACUCAUGUUCCUGGGGCUCUUCCCUCUCUUUGCUGUAUUUGAAGGUCUCCAUUUGUCCACAUCUGAGAAAAUCUUCCGUUUCCAGGACACAGGGCUGCUCCUGCGGGUACUUGGGAGCCUC
rnacentral:sRNA from 1 species